AAUAUAUGUGUCAAACUAUCUUUAUCUUCAUCUAUCUUUCUAUCUUUCUGUCCGUCUUUCUUUUUAUUUUCUAACUAUCUGACUUCAUCACUUCUGCACUCUUCUUUCUCUCUGUCUAUCUCUAUCCCCCUAUCUGUUCGUCUAUCUUUCAAUCUGUAAGAACGUAAGGAGUCUGCAAGAGGCCUAACCCCACUUAUCCUCGCUAUCCAUGAAUCUAUCCAACCUCUUCUUGAAUGUAUCUAUGGUAUUGGCACCCACGACGUGACUGUCAAUCCUGUUCCAAGCCUAUCUCUGUCUUUAUUUCACCUCUACACUCUCUAUCUUUCUGUCUGUCUAUCUAUACAUAUGUCUCUCUACCUAUCUGUUUAUACCUCACAUUCUUCUUCUUGAAUGUAUCUAUGGUAUUGGCACCCACGACGUGACUGUCAAUCCUGUUCCAAGCCUAUCUCUGUCUUUAUUUCACCUCUACACUCUCAUGCAGUCUAUCUUUCUGUCUAUCUAUCUAUACAUCUGUCUCUCUACCUAUCUGUUUAUACCUCACAUUCUUCUUCUUGAAUGUAUCUAUGGUAUUGGCACCCACGAAGUGACUGCCAAGCCUGUUCCAAGCCUAUCUCUGUCUUUAUUUCACCUCUACACUCUCAUGCAGUCUAUCUUUCUGUCUAUCUGUCACAUUUGCACUCCCCGGAAAGAAGAAUCCACCAAGGCCUUCUUACCCCCAAAAUAUAUUAUCCACCCCGCCCUUGUAACGACCGAUUAACUGUAAUUUCUUGAUGGAUAGCCGAGCGCUGUGCACCAAUUAUCAGUUUGUGCUCCGUCAUCAUCAUCAUCAUCAUCAACAACAUCAAUGGGCUGAGGUUUUAUGGGGUCGUCGAUAAGGGGGAACUUGUGAAUGAUGUAUGCUUCAAAUAUUUUCUUCCUGGUUACUGGCUUGUGAAUUGUGGGUCAUGGUUUGCGUGGGAAUAAUAUUGUUUUAGGAUCUGGGAAUGAAGAUAAAAAGAGUAAGUUUAAAUGUAAGGAUUGAAGAAUAAAAUGUACUGUGAGUAAACAAUAAGAAAUAGUGGUUUACGAAUUUUAGGUCUUGAUAUGGAGGGAAUUUUUAUCUUUUUUGUGCAGGGAAACAGAGAUGGAUAAGGAAGAUAGGGAAGAGAAAGAAGAAAGAGGAACAGAAGGGCAGAAAAAUAGGGAAGAAAAAG